GCAAGCGCUCAUCCCAUCUGUCCUUUGCCCUAAUAGAAGCAAUGAUUGACUUCCUGGAGAGGAACCCAGAUCUGGCAAAGGGUUUUUCAAAAACUCAAUAUGCCAGAGAGUGGAGCACUAGGAAGUUUUGUCAUAGCGGCUCAAUAAUAUGGGUGGGACGAUUAAAACAUACAAGCAGUGGACCAAACAAUCAGACCCAAUACAAUUGGUUCCCCAGCCUCCCUCUUUAAUACAAAGCAGUGGACAUUCAGAAAUUUCAGUGAGUUGAAGAGCAGCAGUUAGAAAUUCGGCGGCCCAAUGCACCGGUCAAGGCGAGCAUGAUGAAGCACAGCAUUGAGAGAGACGGAAUUGCCGCUAACGCUGUGGCGGCAGUGGAGGAAGAAUUAAAUGCGCUAGCAGAAUCUAUUAGGUUGAACUGGGGUCAAAUAAAUAAGUAUUUAAAUUGUAAUUUUAUAUUUUCAAGUUUUAAAGUAGAUUUUAUUAUACGUUAUACAUAUUAUUAUUA